GACAGAGGGUGCAAACGUUGCUCGGAAUUACUGGGCGUAAAGCGCGUGUAGGCGGAUAGGCAAGUCAGAUGUGAAAUCCCUAGGCUCAACCAAGGAACUGCAUUUGAAACUGCUUGUCUAGAGUGAUGGAGAGGGAAGCGGAAUUCUCGGUGUAGAGGUGAAAUUCGUAGAUAUCGAGAGGAACACCAGUGGCGAAGGCGGCUUCCUGGACAUCAACUGACGCUGAGACGCGAAAGCGUGGGGAGCAAACAGG
rnacentral:misc_RNA from 1 species